GGGUGGCGAGUGGCGGACGGGUGAGUAAUGCAUCGGGAUCUACCCUGACGUGGGGGAUAACCUCGGGAAACCGGGACUAAUACCGCAUACGUCCUACGGGAGAAAGCGGGGGACCUUCGGGCCUCGCGCGGCAGGACGAACCGAUGUGCGAUUAGCUAGUUGGCGGGGUAAUGGCCCACCAAGGCGACGAUCGCUAGCUGGUCUGAGAGGAUGAUCAGCCACACUGGGACUGAGACACGGCCCAGACUCCUACGGGAGGCAGCAGUGGGGAAUAUUGGACAAUGGGCGCAAGCCUGAUCCAGCAAUGCCGCGUGUGUGAAGAAGGCCUUCGGGUUGUAAAGCACUUUUAUCAGGAGCGAAAUACCACGGGUUAAUACCCUAUGGGGCUGACGGUACCUGAGGAAUAAGCAC
rnacentral:rRNA from 1 species